CAGCCGCCGCGGGAAUACAGAGGGUGCGAGCGUUAAUCGGAUUUACUGGGCGUAAAGCGUGCGUAGGCGGCUUUUUAAGUCGGAUGUAAAAUCCCUGAGCUUAACUUAGGAAUUGCAUUCGAUACUGGGAAGCUAGAGUAUGGGAGAGGAUGGUAGAAUUCCAGGUGUAGCGGUGAAAUGCGUAGAGAUCUGGAGGAAUACCGAUGGCGAAGGCAGCCAUCUGGCCUAAUACUGACGCUGAGGUACGAAAGCAUGGGGAGCAAACAGGAUUAGAUACCCCUGUAGUCCAUGUCUCUUAUAA
rnacentral:rRNA from 1 species